rnacentral:rRNA from 1 species
UACGUAGGGUGCAAGCGUUGUCCGGAAUUAUUGGGCGUAAAGAGCUCGUAGGCGGUCUGUCGCGUCUGCUGUGAAAACUCAGGGCUUAACCCUGAGCUUGCAGUGGGUACGGGCAGACUAGAGUGCGGUAGGGGAGACUGGAAUUCCUGGUGUAGCGGUGAAAUGCGCAGAUAUCAGGAGGAACACCGGUGGCGAAGGCGAGUUCCUGGACACUUCCUGACACUGAGGCACGAAAGCUAGGGGAGCAAACAGG